CCUCAACUUUGGACUUCUGGCCUCCAGAACUUUGAGUUGAUAAUUAUUGUUGUUGCUGUUGUCAUGGCAGCACAGUUAUGGGAGCACAUUUUUGAACACAGGCUCCCACCUUCAACUUAUCACUUCCUUACCUUUGCUGGGGUACCUGAUGACUUUAAAGAGACUGUUUCUUUGGAGAAGGUGGAAUACGCUUAAAGAUUGGAAUGGAUACAACCAAACCACCAUAAAAGCCUUAUGUGGAACAUGGCAGACCUCUCUCAAUCAAAAUCCCGAUACGACCACAGGGAAUGACCGCCCUCAUGGGCCAGCUUUGGACUGUCAUGUGAAUGACAAAUUGGUCUUGCCUUUAAAACACCAUUUUAAAAGAGACCAUUUGUUAGUGCCUGAAAUCUGUAACUGGCUUAAAAGCUCUGUCAGCUGGAAAGGAACCUGUCAGUGUGAUAAUGGAAAAGAAGAAGAUACAUCAGAGAGAGACAGAGGGUGAAAAUACCAAGGAUAGAGCAAGUCUGACAAACUCACGUUGAAUAACAAGAUCUUCAUGGCCUGGAUCCCUGAAAGACUGUGUGGAACAGAGCCCCUUGACAACCUGAAACCCCUACCUUCAUUCAGAUUGUUGUGUGAGGUUCCAAUAAUGUGAUUCCUUUUUAAGACACUAAGGGGGAGUAUUUGUUACAGCAGGUUAACAUAUAUUAAUUAACAGCCAUAUAAUAAAAUAUGUGUGUAUUUAAG
rnacentral:lncRNA from 1 species